rnacentral:miRNA from 1 species
ACAGUUGUAGGAGUCAUGCACUGUUCAACUCUGAGCAUCAUUCACGCAGACUAUGAAGUGAAUGAUGCUCACCUGGAUUGUGCAGGACGCAACCUGCAU